rnacentral:misc_RNA from 1 species
AAGUUCUCAACCACACUUUGGUGUGGCUUGGAUAUGGAGGUUUUCUUGCGGGCUUCAUUGACAUGAAGUCGGCUCCUCUGAAAUGCAUUAGUGGUAUCUGAGCAGAGAAAAACCUGGUGUGAUAAUUUAUCUAUGCCAAUUAGUAUGCUGCAAUAGAACAGAUUGUACUGCUUCUAACAAACUUAUAUUGAAUA